GCUUUUAUCUUAUUGGCCAUUAAACACGUCAAGAACAUGUUGCUUCUCUGCUAUUCUCACUUGAAACUUUGUGAUUCACACUGAAAGAGUGUCGCUUCAGGCUUGAAAUGUCUCCCACGCUUUUUCAACACUACAUCUGUCUGUUUUAAUUUGUAUAUUGUAACACCUUGUUGCUAAUGUGAUGACUUUUUACAGAUACCUGAUGCCAUCAACGUGUUUGUCGAAAUUCCUAUACUUGUGUGCCCAAGAGUUGUUCUGCUUCAGAGGAAAAAGUCUCAGCAUUAAGAUACAUUUCGAGGAAACUAUUUUGGUACGUCCAGAUAAAAUUUUGACAUUCAACAAGGUGAUUUAUUGAGGAAGAAGUUGUGAAUUGUUUAAUGUUUCCAUGACAUUAAAGUUGAAAUUUCAGGUAAGUUUUCACUGUCAUCUUUCUGUUGUUUGUAUCACAUUUCAAGAAAAUGCAACCAUUAAUUUAGUAAUUUGAAGAAAAGUGACAAGAAAACACGUUGAAGUUGCAAAAUCAGAAUAACAACCAGGCCAAAUUAUACCGAAGGAUUGAUUUCACAUUCUCCAAUUUCCAAGCCUUCAAGUAUAAUUCCACAUUCUUUCAGAACCUUCAAAUUUAGGUUGAUUUUUGUUGAAAAAAAUUCAAUUCUCAAGUUUAUGUAUUGAUAAGGAACAGUGACUGAUUUUGGCGAAGUGUUUGUAUUGAGCAGUUGUACUUGGAUUGGAUAAAAGUUGCGAUUGUAAUAUCGGAACACAAAACUUAGAGAACACAUCACCUCUAAAUUAAGUUCUUGCAGUAAAUCGGAUAUUUAUCUGAAUUGAAUAUUAUUUAGGAUUUUUCAUAGGAUAGUUGGAAGCAAUAACUUAACAUCAUUAUUGUUAUCAUGCUCCUAAUAAUGAAAACAAUGGAAUUGAAAGGAUGAUCAUAUAAGUAUAAGAUGAACGAUGACCCUUAAGAUGUGAUCUUAGGUUACAACACAUUAUAUAAUGGAUAAAGUAGACUAUAUGCUUAUAUAAUAUCAUGAGAUAAGACUAAACUCUAUUUUAAAGUCCCUAUAAUGUCAAGCUUUUCCAUCUGAAUGUAAAUUUUUUUAAUGGAGGUAUAAUGAGUGAUUGUUUUAGGACCAUCAAAUUGGAUGCAAGUAGAAUUAUUUUUGUAGUCUAUUUCAGUAAAUUUAGAAUACAUUUUAAUUGCAUUACGUAAUCCUUGAAAUCUUUAAACUCAACUGUGACAUUCUUGCAAGGCUUUGGGCAUAGCUAUAUAUUUUCGAAUCUUUAAAGAUGAAAAUAGAGGGUCUAUGCGGUUGCAUACAACUUUGCUUGAGUAAGGCAUAGGGCAGAAUGAGCUGUAUUAUUUUCAGUAAGGUAUGAGCGUAUUGAACUUUCAAAGAAAAAGAAUGUGAACGUCACUAAGGGUUUUGAUCCUCAAGUGCCAAAAAGUUCAAAAAGUCAUAAACCAAGGGCUCGCUAUCCAUAUGGUAGAAUGCCAAUAAUGCAUUCUUGUUCUAAUAGAGGAGUUGUUGAGCAAGAAAAUGGACAUGGAAAGAGGGAGCAUCCAUGGCUGACCAGUCCUAAUCCUAUUAACAACUGAUUGUACCAUCCAAGCUUUGCUGCCAAAGGUCUAUCAGUGGACCCUUACUUGCGUAUGCUUAAGGAGAAUUCAGACUUUCUUAAAAUUGCAAGCAAGUUUGAGGUUGAUAGUAAGAAUAAAGUGGUGAUGGAUUUGAACAAAUGAGGAAUAUUGUGUUGGUGCUAGACACUAUAUCUUAGUAGUGCAAAUUAUGUUAUUGAAUAAAUUCUCCAAGAAUAUUGUGGAACAUUCUGAAUGUUCUUGGUAUUAUUUUUUCAUUUAGUCAUUUAAGUUUCAUAGGUAGAGAAGUGUUGAACUUCUUUAUUCAAGUUUGGAUUUUGCACUUUCAAUUUGUUGUCAAUUUAAAAUAAUCUAAGCUGUAUUUCUAGGUAAAACUCUUCGUGUUUAAAUACAAACAUCAUAUUUCUUAU